CCAAUAGCGUAUAUUAAAGUUGCUGCAGUUAAAAAGCUCGUAGUUGAAUUUCGGGACCAAUAUGUCGGUCGUGCCUCGGUACGUACUGGCAUCGUUGGUUUCUCCCUUCUGAAGAACCAUGAUGUCAUUCAUUUGGUGUCGUGGGGAAUCAGGACUAUUACUUUGAAAAAAUUAGAGUGUUUAAAGCAGGCUCACGCUUGAAUACAUUAGCAUGGAAUAAUGAAAUAGGACGUUUGAUUCUAUUUUGUUGGUUUCUAGGAUCGACGUAAUGAUUAAUAGGGAUAGUUGGGGGCAUUAGUAUUCAAUUGUCAGAGGUGAAAUUCUUGGAUUUAUUGAAGAAUAACUACUGCGAAAGCAUUUGCCAAGGAUGUUUUCAUUAAUCAAGAACGAAAGUUAGGGGGUCGAAGACGAUCAGAUACCGUCUUAGUCUUAACCAUAAACUAUGCCGACUAGGGAUCGGAUGAUGUUAAUUUUUUAAUGACUCAUUCGGCGCCUUACG
rnacentral:rRNA from 1 species